GGAAGGUUAAUGGCGAACAACAAUCCAGCUGAUCACGGUGGUAGGAGACGUGGAGCGGAGUUUGCUGAUCAAAUUGCUGCAAUUAUCCCACAUCUUGAUUCCCUGGAGGAGCACCUGAUUGAAGCCUUACAGUACCUGGAUGUUCCAGCCAACACUACCCAUGGAAAAA